UGGGGAAUUUUGGACAAUGGGCGAAAGCCUGAUCCAGCAAUGCCGCGUGUGUGAAGAAGGCCUUCGGGUUGUAAAGCACUUUUGUCCGGAAAGAAAUCCUUGGCUCUAAUACAGUCGGGGGAUGACGGUACCGGAAGAAUAAGCACCGGCUAACUACGUGCCAGCAGCCGCGGUAAUACAUAGGGUGCAAGCGUUAAUCGGAAUUACUGGGCGUAAAGCGUGCGCAGGCGGUUUGCUAAGACCGAUGUGAAAUCCCCGGGCUCAACCUGGGAACUGCAUUGGUGACUGGCAGGCUAGAGUAUGGCAGAGGGGGGUAGAAUUCCACGUGUAGCAGUGAAAUGCGUAGAGAUGUGGAGGAAUACCGAUGGCGAAGGCAGCCCCCUGGGCCAAUACUGACGCUCAUGCACGAAAGCGUGGGGAGCAAACAGGAUUAGAUACCCUGGUAGUCCACGCCCUAAACGAUGUCAACUAGUUGUUGGGGAUUCAUUUCCUUAGUAACGUAGCUAACGCGUGAAGUUGACCGCCUGGGGGAGUACGGUCGCAAGAUUAAAA
rnacentral:rRNA from 1 species